rnacentral:rRNA from 1 species
GACGAACGCUGGCGGCGUGCUUAACACAUGCAAGUCGAACGGAAAGGCCCUGCUUUUGUGGGGUGCUCGAGUGGCGAACGGGUGAGUAACACGUGAGUAACCUGCCCUUGACUUUGGGAUAACUUCAGGAAACUGGGGCUAAUACCGGAUAGGAGCUCCUGCUGCAUGGUGGGGGUUGGAAAGUUUCGGCGGUUGGGGAUGGACUCGCGGCUUAUCAGCUUGUUGGUGGGGUAGUGGCUUACCAAGGCUUUGACGGGUAGCCGGCCUGAGAGGGUGACCGGCGACAUGGGUACUGAGGGACGGCGCAGUGGCGUACGUGAGACAGUAGGGGGGAAUAUGGCACAGUGGGGGGAAGCGUGAUGCAGCAGCGCCGCGGGUGGGAUGAGGGCCUUCGGGGUGUAAACCGCUUUCGCCUGUUACGAAGCGUGAAUGACGGUAAUGGGUAAAGAAGCACCGGCUAACUACGUG